rnacentral:lncRNA from 1 species
UUUUUUUUGACAGUCUAGGUGGCCACAAAUGAGUGCAAUUGAAGGAUCACUCCAGCUGGAGCACUAAAGGAACCCAUCACCAGAGCUUUCCCAAGAGAAUAUCAUAAGGAAACACACAGGUUAUAACUUUGACCAAAUAAAAUCAGAAGUGUCCAGCAGCAUGAGAACCAUCUGUGUUCCUACAGUCACAUUAACAUCUGCAGCAAAUCAGUGUUCCCGUUUCUAAAGGCCAGGAUAUGGAACAUUUUUGUCUGGAAUGUUGUCCUUUCAGGUGUGAGAUCUUCUGGUGUUUCUACAGAGCAAGCAACGUUCCACAACUUGAAAGUUUCUGACAUAACCUUUUAGGGUCAAGCAGACACUCCCAGCUGAUGUGCAUUCCAGUAGACUGAAGCCAAGUUGUCCUUUUCCCUGAGCACAACUAGGAGAACAAUUCCAGGCAACCAGGCGCAGCAAGCGUGACCUAGUUCUCCUUUUCUCCUUGGAGGAAAAGAAAAAGAAAAAAAGAAUUGAAUCUGGGCCAGUUAAUAAUGCAGUCCACUGGUUUUCGCCCAAGAUGCUGAAUCUGAGAGUUAUAGUCAUUUCCAAAAGCUGAUCUGUGCCUGGAGGAAAUGCAUAACCUUUCUCCCAGUUUGUCUUUUAGGACUCAAUUACCUUGAAGUCACCCCUUUUUACCAGCAGCAACACCCCCAAAUUAGUCUCCAUUCACAAAGUAUCUCUGAUGAUGCCUCCCUGGGAAAACUUAAAAGCCUAUUUAACUAAAGGAGAGCCUGCUGCCAAGAAGUCAGCCUGGGAGAAUGGCAGUAAUUAAAUGAUGAUAAUAUUUAGGAUCCUGCAGUUGUGUGAUCUCCUGCACAUCACUGAACAAUCAACUGUACCUCCCUCGGGAAGGGGAGCCAGCUCAGCCCCUAGCCCAGCAGCCCAGCAGCCCACCAGCCAGAGGCACUGACAGAUGGACACCUGAGCGCCUGGCACUAUCUGUGAGCACCAGGGUGGACUUGUCUCUUGAGUCGGGUGGUCCACAGGUCAACCUGAUGGAUGCAUCCUG